ACAGACAAAAGGAAUAGAUGAUGACUGGAGCGCAGUUUUAAGCAGAAACGAGGCAAUAAUCUAUGAACUGUUGCUGAAGCACUGAAAUGACGCACGUGCAGUGAAGGCACAGUGAGAGUGCCGUCCCCCUUCUGAGCUCCUCUGACAGCGGCCUGACUGUUGCAGACAGC